GACAAAAAGGGACUGUGAGCAGCGCAGACAAGGGAAAGAGUCUCUUACUGAGCUGGAAAAGCCAGGGCGAGUGCUAGAAUACAGUUUUUCUACCAAUAAGCGGUAUUUUUGGAGCUAAUGUGCAGAGAGUGUGCCAUUAGAUAAGUGCUGGCACGGGGCAUCAGGUUUAUAGGUACAAAAAGGUCUAGGACUGUUAACACAGUAAAGCUGGAAUUACCUUUUUGGGGGGUUGUUAGAAGCAUCUGCAUGGAGGGAAUAUUUUUUGCAAGAUUGCUGCAUAGUUAAAAAUUGGCAUGCAGGCUUGUUGGAUGUGCCUUUUAUCUAUUUAAGCCGUUUUUCUUGCAAAUGCAUGUUUCAAACCUGUGUGACUUUGCAGGGUGCAGCAGAGAAUUUUGGGGAGACUACAUGCAUGCUGCAGAAUCCAGAUGAGCUACAUUACAUGACAACCUGUGUCCAAGGAGACAAUGUAAAGUUGAAGAUGGUGGUUGACUGUGACAGAUUGAUUUUGGUUUGUGUGCUGAUGCAGAAAAAGGU